UACGAAGGGGGCUAGCGUUGUUCGGAAUCACUGGGCGUAAAGCGCUCGUAGGCGGAUGGUUAAGUCAGGUGUGAAAUCCCGAGGCUCAACCUCGGAACUGCCUUUGAUACUGGCGAUCUAGAGUCCGGGAGAGGUGAGUGGAACUCCUAGUGUAGAGGUGAAAUUCGUAGAUAUUAGGAAGAACACCAGUGGCGAAGGCGGCUCACUGGCCCGGUACUGACGCUGAUGUGCGAAAGCGUGGGGAGCAAACAGG
rnacentral:rRNA from 1 species